rnacentral:rRNA from 1 species
GACGAACGCUGGCGGCGUGCUUAACACAUGCAGGUCGAGCGGUAAGGCCUUUCGGGGUACACGAGCGGCGAACGGGUGAGUAACACGUGGGUGAUCUGCCCUGCACUUCGGGAUAAGCCUGGGAAACUGGGUCUAAUACCGGAUAUGACCUCCUAUCGCAUGGUGGGUGGUGGAAAGAUUUAUCGGUGCAGGAUGGGCCCGCGGCCUAUCAGCUUGUUGGUGGGGUAAUGGCCUACCAAGGCGACGACGGGUAGCCGACCUGAGAGGGUGACCGGCCACACUGGGACUGAGACACGGCCCAGACUCCUACGGGAGGCAGCAGUGGGGAAUAUUGCACAAUGGGCGAAAGCCUGAUGCAGCGACGCCGCGUGAGGGAUGACGGCCUUCGGGUUGUAAACCUCUUUCAGCAGGGACGAAGCGCAAGUGACGGUACCUGCAGAAGAAGCACCGGCUAACUACGUG